rnacentral:rRNA from 1 species
AGAUUGAACGCUAGCGGGAUGCUUUACACAUGCAAGUCGAACGGCAGCGCGGACUUCGGUCUGGCGGCGAGUGGCGAACGGGUGAGUAAUAUAUCGGAACGUGCCCAGUAGCGGGGGAUAACUACGCGAAAGCGUGGCUAAUACCGCAUACGCCCUACGGGGGAAAGGGGGGGAUCGCAAGACCUCUCACUAUUGGAGCGGCCGAUAUCAGAUUAGCUAGUUGGUGAGGUAAAGGCUCACCAAGGCGACGAUCUGUAGCUGGUUUGAGAGGACGACCAGCCACACUGGGACUGAGACACGGCCCAGACUCCGUACGGGAGCAGCAGUAGGGAAUAGUU